rnacentral:rRNA from 1 species
AUUGAACGCUGGCGGCAUGCCUUACACAUGCAAGUCGAACGGCAGCACGGGGCAACCCUGGUGGCGAGUGGCGAACGGGUGAGUAAUGCAUCGGAACGUGCCCAGUAGUGGGGGAUAACCAGUCGAAAGACUGGCUAAUACCGCAUACGACCUAAGGGUGAAAGCGGGGGACCGUAAGGCCUCGCGCUAUUGGAGCGGCCGAUGUCUGAUUAGCUAGUUGGCGGGGUAAGAGCCCACCAAGGCGACGAUCAGUAGCUGGUCUGAGAGGACGACCAGCCACACUGGGACUGAGACACGGCCCAGACUCCUACGGGAGGCAGCAGUGGGGAAUUUUGGACAAUGGGCGCAAGCCUGAUCCAGCCAUGCCGCGUGCGGGAAGAAGGCCUUCGGGUUGUAAACCGCUUUUGGCAGGAACGAAACGGCGCAGGCCAAUACCUUGCGCUAAUGACGGUACCUGCAGAAUAAGCACCGGCUAACUACGUGCCAGCCGCCGCCGUAAGAC